GAUGAACGCUGGCGGCGUGCUUAAUACAUGCAAGUCGAGCGGAAGGACGAUGCUUUUGUUGGGUUCUCGAGCGGCGAGCACGUGAGUAACACGCGCGUAACCCACCCUUGACUUACUGGUAAAUUCACGAGACAAGGGCGAAUACAGGAUAGGAGAUCUUGCUGCGUGGUGUGGCUUGGUAAGUUACGGCGGUUCGGGAUGGACUCGCGGCUUAUCAGCUUGCUGGUGUGGUUGUGGCUUACCAAGGCUAUGACGGGUAGCCGGCCUGAGAGGGUGACCGGGCACAAGGGCACUGAGCUACGGCCCAGACUCGUACGGGAGGCAGCGGUGGGGAAUCUGGCACAAUGGGCGGAAGCCUGAUGCAGCAACGCCGCGUGCGGGAUGAUGGCCUUCGGGUGGAGAACAGCUUUCGCCUGUAACGUAGCGUAAGUGACGGUAAUGGAUAAAGAAGCACCGGCUAACUACGUG
rnacentral:rRNA from 1 species